rnacentral:rRNA from 1 species
ACGGAGGGUGCAAGCGUUGUUCGGAAUUACUGGGCGUAAAGCGCGCGUAGGCGGUUUUAUAAGUCAGAUGUGAAAGCCCAUGGCUUAACCAUGGACGUGCAUUUGAAACUGUGAGACUUGAGUAUUGGAGGGGGUGGUGGAAUUCCCGGUGUAGAGGUGAAAUUCGUAGAUAUCGGGAGGAAUACCAGUGGCGAAGGCGACCACCUGGCCAAAUACUGACGCUAAUGUGCGAAAGCGUGGGGAGCAAACAG